CUUAUAUCUCCAGAGGGGAUUAGUCCCUCUGCUUCAAAGUAACCAAAACAAAGAGAGAUGAGCCAGCUUCACUGGGAACAACACCUGUCUGUCAGACGAGGAUGGGCUGGCUCAUCAAACGGCAAUCAGCGCCUGUGUGCACGACUCGACAGCCUGGACGGCUAAUACCAAGAACCAGACGAAAUGAGAAUAUGGGAGGAGCAGACCCACUGAAGCUCUUUGAGUUCUUAUAUUUGUUUUUCUUAGUAACAUGUAAUAACUAAAAGAGAACAAUUGAGUCCGACAUCCUCUGCCACGGUUAGACUUUCAGCACAGACAUGCUUUAUAUGUGGAUCUCGAUGAAGACGAAAACGAUUCGAGCUCACAGUCACUCUUGAUAUCCAUCUAAGUCUUCAGCUGGCUGUACUUCUGUAGAUUGACUAUGUGUCAGUUCUGAUGUAUCUACCUAGUAACCUUGCUUGGCUGGAAACUAUUACAUUUUCUGGCAUUUUAUCACUUCACAGAUGUCACAAAGUAUCAUCCUUAUUUCCUUCUCACCCUAACAAGGAUAAGAUUUGGGACUGGGAGAAUCAGGGAAGGAGUCAGGCACCCCACAAGAAUACCUGCCAUGAGAAAUUGUGAAUGAAUUCAAAGAUCCGGGCAGGAUGAGGGACAUUGCUGACAUAGAGAAGCCAAGAGCCUAAAGUCUGUCUAAGAGCUAUGCCAAGACUCAAGAUUCGUACUAACAAGGCAGGAUGCGGUGCCCUCCACAUGGCAAUGAAUUUUAAAAGACCUGCUCUAAGCUGGGGUAUAGAGAACAGGAUUAAGAGGAUGGCAUCUCGGGUCCAUUUUUGACUCAUGGGUAUAUUCUAUUGGUUUUCCCACUGAUAUGCUAAUUUUUCUUCUCUGGGUUUUGGCCUCCCAACUUCGUAUACUUUCUGUAUUUCAUGCCUCCCUCCCUCACUCUCUCCCUCCAUCAUGCAGCAAUCACUGUCAGAGUUACUAUGCCAAUUCCAGCCUCAGGGUGACAGGGGUAUGUGCUAAUACUUCCAUCAGAGACAUUCAAAUGGCUAGAAUAGUCAUGAAUAAAGAAUAAUGAGAAGAACUCUUGGAGAAUAACUUCUGCUAAUUAGAAAAGGAAAGGUAUAAAUAUACAAGAGAGGCACAAUUACUUGCUGGGCCAUUAACUAUGAAAACUUCCAUCAGCAUCACAGGUGAAUAUUAUGAAACGGAAGAAGGAAAAUGGUAGAGUUGCACCAAGGAGAAAAACAUUAUCCCCUUAUUCUAUGUCAAAGUCAUUGUUAUUUACUCUCAGAAUUACACAGCGCUUCUAGCCAUCUACCUGCAAUGGAAAUCUUCAAUUAUCCAAACAGUUCUGAUUGUUGGAACUCAUGUACUUCAUGUGAUGGUGAUGGAGGUAGAUAUUAAAGGAGUUUUACCUGUAGUCUACAGCUGAGCCCCUGUAUCUAAAUGUGAUGGGGGCGCGGUGAGCCGAGGAGUCGAAAGAAAGAUUUCUUGGACUCUCAAGAUCUGGCAGUAGUGCUCUUUUAUUUAAAGAACAGUGUGGAAUAGCAGGGGGACAGGACCCAUGGGCAGGAGGAGCUGCUGCCACCACCGCUGCUGUGAACAUGGGUGGAGAGUAAGGCUAAAUUUAAGGCAUAGGUAUGUGAGUUAUCUCUUUACAAGACAAAGGAAAGAAUAUGUAAAAAAAGAGUUGUUAAAAUGGUGUCAGUGCUGGUAGGGUUCUGGUUAUUGAGUGGUCCUAUAACUUUUAGAUAAGAAUCAAACCGGAUUAAGUAAAUGGCAGAAGCCACUGCUUAAAUAUUAUCUUCAACUAAAGACAAACGAG
rnacentral:lncRNA from 1 species